rnacentral:rRNA from 1 species
UGAGUACGAGCUGCUACGGCAGCGAAGUGGGUGAUGUCAAGCUUCCAAGAAAAGCCCUAUACCCGUUAAGGCAUGAUGGCCUGUACCCGAAACCGACACAGGUGGGGUGGUAGAGAAUACCGAGGGGCGCGAGAUAACUCUCUCUAAGGAACUCGGCAAAAUGGCCCCGUAACUUCGGGAGAAGGGGUGCCACCGCAAGGUGGUCGCAGUGAAGAGGCCCAGGCGACUGUUUACCAAAAACACAGGUCUCCGCUAAGUCGCAAGACGAUGUAUGGGGGCUGACGCCUGCCCAGUGCCGGAAGGUUAAGGAAGCUGGUCAGCGUAAGCGAAGCUGGCGACUGAAGCCCCGGUGAACGGCGGCCGUAACUAUAACGGUCCUAAGGUAGCGAAAUUCCUUGUCGGGUAAGUUCCGACCCGCACGAAAGGCGUAACGAUCUGGGCGCUGUCUCGGAGAGAGGCUCGGCGAAAUAGAAUUGUCUGUGAAGAUGCGGACUACGUGCACCCGGACAGAAAGACCCUAUGAAGCUUUACUGUAGCUUGGUAUUGUGCCCGGGCUCUGAAUGCGCAGGAUAGGUGGGAGGCUUUGAUCCAUUGCUUGUGGGUGAUGGUGAGCCAACGGUGAGAUACCACUCUUUCAGAGCUAGGGUUCUAACGGUCACCCGUCAUCCGGGGACCGGACAGUAUCAGGUGGGCAGUUUGACUGGGCGGUCGCCUCCUAAAAGGUAACGGAGGCGCGCAAAGGUUCCCUCAGGCUGGUUGGAAAUCAGCCGACGAGUGUAAAGGCAGAAGGGAGCUUGACUGUGAGACCUACAAGUCGAACAGGGACGAAAGUCGGCCUUAGUGAUCCGACGGUUCUGAGUGGAAGGGCCGUCGCUCAACGGAUAAAAGUUACUCUAGGAUAACAGGCUGAUCUCCCCCAAGAGUUCACAUCGACGGGGAGGUUUGGCACCUCGAUGUCGGCUCAUCGCAACCUGGGGCUGAAGUCGGUCCCAAGGGUUGGGCUGUUCGCCCAUUAAAGCGGUACGCGAGCUGGGUUCAGAACGUCGUGAGACAGUUCGGUCCAUAUCCGGUGCAUGCGCAGGAAUAUUGAGAGGAUUUCUCCCUAGUACGAGAGGACCGGGAGGAACGCACCUCUGGUGUGCCAGUUAUCGUGCCAACGGUAAACGCUGGGUAGCCAUGUGCGGAGAGGAUAACCGCUGAAAGCAUCUAAGUGGGAAGCCCACCUCAAGAUGAGUAUUCCCAUGGCGUUAGCCAGUAAGGUCACGGGAAGAACACCCGUUGAUAGGCUCUACGUGGAAGCCGGGUAACCGGUGAAGCGGAGGAGUACUAAUAGACCGAGGGCUUGACC